UACGAAGGGUGCAAGCGUUACUCGGAAUUACUGGGCGUAAAGCGUGCGUAGGUGGUUUGUUAAGUCUGUUGUGAAAGCCCCGGGCUCAACCUGGGAAUGGCAAUGGAUACUGGCGAGCUAGAGUGCGGUAGAGGGUAGUGGAAUUCCCGGUGUAGCGGUGAAAUGCGUAGAGAUCGGGAGGAACACCAGUGGCGAAGGCGGCUACCUGGACCAGCACUGACACUGAGGCACGAAAGCGUGGGGAGCAAACAGG
rnacentral:rRNA from 1 species